AGCGAACGCUGGCGGCAGGCUUAACACAUGCAAGUCGAGCGGGCGUAGCAAUACGUCAGCGGCAGACGGGUGAGUAACGCGUGGGAACAUACCUUUUGGUUCGGAACAACACAGGGAAACUUGUGCUAAUACCGGAUAAGCCCUUACGGGGAAAGAUUUAUCGCCGAAAGAUUGGCCCGCGUCUGAUUAGCUAGUUGGUGAGGUAACGGCUCACCAAGGCGACGAUCAGUAGCNGGUCUGAGAGGACGAUCAGCCACACUGGGACUGAGACACGGCCCAGACUCCUACGGGAGGCAGCAGUAGGGAAUCUUGCGCAAUGGGCAAAGCCUGACGCAGCAACGCCGCGUGAGGGACGAAGGCCUU
rnacentral:rRNA from 1 species